GACGAACCGUGCGAACGUUAUUCGGAAUCAUUGGGCUUAAAGGGCGCGUAGGCGGCGGCGUAAGUUGGAAGUGAAAUCCCAUCGGCUCAACCGUGGAAUUGCUCCCAGUACUGCGUCGCUCGAGGGGGAUAGGGGUCUGCGGAACUACCGGUGGAGCGGUGAAAUGUGUUGAUAUCGGUGGGAACGCCAGUGGCGAAAGCGGCAGGACUGGACCCUUCCUGACGCUGAUGCGCGAAAGCUAGGGGAGCAAACGGG
rnacentral:rRNA from 1 species